ensembl:lncRNA
GUUGCCAAUUACUGAGAUUUCACAAAGCCAGCUGCCUCUUUGUUAGCCGCAACGCCUGCAGUACCAUAACAUAAGAUUCCUGUGUCAGAUAUUGUGUACAGAUGAAUACAAUUAGCUUUGCAGAGAAACAUGCUGAUUUACAGACUGACAUUAAGCAUAGAAAGUCUACAGUGUUAUGCUAAAUGAAAUGUUUGUGUAGCUAGUCUUAUUUUAUUAGUUAGCCUGGCAUAACUCACUUUGUCAGUAACCACUGGUAAUGUCACUAUGGAUUGUUUGUUUGAAUCUUUGUUAUGGAGAGGUGGACAUCUUUGUUUAAUGAAGCAGAAUAUUAUUCUUAUUCAUCUAUCUUCUACACGAAGGAGAAUGCCCUUGUUUCACGCCUUCAAGAUUUAAAGUGUUAUCUGUGCAAGAUUUCAGUGCUCCUCUUCCCAUCUAGUCCUGAUGGACUUUCUUGAGAGUGGACUGAAGAGAAUGAACCAACAGGUUGGUGGAUCAUGCUAUCAGUCUUGGGCAUAAACUACAUCUUUCAAUGCCUCGACAUCCAAAAGAUGUAUGCAAGGGUACUGUUUAUCGACUGCGUUCAACAUCAUCCUAGAACUAAUAUAUUGUUCCUUACAAACUGUUAACUGUUCAUAAGAAAGCUGCACUGUACUGCUCCAAAAACAGUGAAUGUCCUUACAUUCAGUGGAUGCACAUACUGGAACUGUCAAUCUGUAAAUGUUUACAUUACUGUAAAUUCCUAUGUGGGACAUAUUCUUACCACUCAUAUUUCAUCAUCUCCACGACAAUCCAGUGUAUAUAAGUGUAUGUCAACUUUGUAGUUUUUGUGUAUUAUUUCCCCAAAAAGUAUUCAGAUUUCAGACCCUUUCACUUUUUACACAUUUUGUUAUAUUACCGCCUUAUUCUAAAAUGGAUAAUAAAUGUUUUAC